CCCAGCACAGAGGGAAAAGAAAAGGCCGGGACACCCAAGAACUUCUGUCUCUACCCCUGUCUGUCUCCAUUCUGAAGCUCUGUUCUUUGAAGGAGGCUGAGCAGAAUGUCUUCCUGGAAUUCUGUGGGUAGCAGCUCACAUUCCGUCACAACCGAGCCGUGAUUGCUGGUCCUCUGAGUCAGCGGUCCUCAGGAUGUUGUCCUUUCAUAUUAAGAAAUCCAUGUCAUCGUGAGCCUUAGAAAACCAUGUAACUCUGAGAAUGUCACCUGUCUAGUGUGUCUUGUGCCGUGUUCAGCUAGAGUAAAUACCUGGUCCCGGGCCCCAGGCUGAAUGUAACCUGGCAUUUGCAUGCCAGGCCUGUGCUCUUGGCGUGUUUACUUACCUCACCAAGGAAACAACACACUCCAGAAGCCUUGAGGGACCUCAAGUCCACACGGCCACUUCCUACACUGAG